rnacentral:lncRNA from 1 species
UCAGAGGGCUGUUGGAGGAGUAGAUGAGGUGCUACAUGCAGGGCCCUGAGAACUGUCCUGUCGCUCAGGAAGCAAGUUUUGCAGGGUGUGGACAAUCGGGCAAGUGACUGCAUGUGACAACAGAGAGAGGGCAUGGUACACGGUGGCAGAUGAGCCCGGGACUGGAGGCAGAUCUGGGUUCCAGUUCGGGCUCUACCAGCAGCACCCAUGUGUCCUUCUGUUCUCUGGGCCUCAAUUUCCUGUUGUAAAAUUCAGAACUUGGAAGAGCAGGCCUGAGCAUUAGAAGACUGAGAAACACCUGGGAGGAUCUUGUUUCAACAGAGCUCAAAGCCGUGGCAAAAGGACGGAGCUCGAAUUGUGCAAUUAAACCCAGGCCCCCAGCAAAUGGAAAAUGCCAUCCACUGGCACAGAGACUUCAGUUGGGAGCCGAGGACUGAACUCAGACCACCAUUCUUUGUUCAACAUUUCUUCCUGAGGGGCCUGGAGGAAGUCACACCCACAGGCCAGAGCUCAACAUUCCUUUCUGCUGACCCCAGGCACCAGUCCAUGGCACUCCCUAUGCCUGCAGGAUACCACAUCAAAGCAGAGUUGGGGGAG